UAGCUCAAUUGGUAGAGCAACUGACUCUUAAUCAGUAGGUUCGGGGUUCGAGUCCCCG
rnacentral:tRNA from 1 species